rnacentral:rRNA from 1 species
GACGAACGCUGGCGGCGUGCUUAACACAUGCAAGUCGAGCGGUAAGGCCCUUUCGGGGGUACACGAGCGGCGAACGGGUGAGUAACACGUGGGUGACCUGCCUUUAGCUCUGGGAUAAGCCUGGGAAACUGGGUCUAAUACCGGAUACGACUCCGCGGUGCAUGCUGUGGGGUGGAAAGCCUUGUGCGGCUGGAGAUGGGCCCGCGGCCUAUCAGCUUGUUGGUGGGGUGAUGGCCUACCAAGGCGACGACGGGUAGCCGGCCUGAGAGGGCGACCGGCCACACUGGGACUGAGACACGGCCCAGACUCCUACGGGAGGCAGCAGUGGGGAAUCUUGCGCAAUGGGCGAAAGCCUGACGCAGCGACGCCGCGUGAGGGAUGAAGGCCU